rnacentral:rRNA from 1 species
UACCGAAGACUAUCAAACUCCGAAUGCCGUCAUCUUAUACUUGGGAGUCAGACUGUGGGUGAUAAGAUCCAUAGUCGUAAGGGCAACAGCCCCGAUCCUCAGCUCAGGCCCCUAACUGUAAGUUCAGCGGUAAAGGAUCAGGCCUUGCACAGACAACCAGGAUGCUCGCUUAGCAGCAGCCACUCAUCCACCGAGUGCGUAAUAGCCCACUGGUCGAGUGACCUUGCGCCGAAGACUUCCGGGGCUAAAACUUAC